GACGAACGCUGGCGGCGUGCCUAAUACAUGCAAGUCGAGCGCUUCUUUCCUCCCGAGUGCUUGCACUCAAUUGGAAAGAGGAGUGGCGGACGGGUGAGUAACACGUGGGUAACCUACCCAUCAGAGGGGGAUAACACUUGGAAACAGGUGCUAAUACCGCAUAACAGUUUAUGCCGCAUGGCAUAAGAGUGAAAGGCGCUUUCGGGUGUCGCUGAUGGAUGGACCCGCGGUGCAUUAGCUAGUUGGUGAGGUAACGGCUCACCAAGGCCACGAUGCAUAGCCGACCUGAGAGGGUGAUCGGCCACACUGGGACUGAGACACGGCCCAGACUCCUACUGGAGGCAGCAGUAGGGAAUCUUCGGCAAUGGACGAAAGUCUGGCCGAGCAACGCCGCGUGAGUGAAGAAGGUUUUCGGAUCGUAAAACUCUGUUGUUAGAGAAGAACAAGGACGUUAGUAACUGAACGUCCCCUGACGGUAUCUAACCAGAAAGCCACGGCUAACUACGUG
rnacentral:rRNA from 1 species